rnacentral:rRNA from 1 species
AUGGAGGUGGACGCCGAGAUCAAGAAGAUGUUCCACGACAUCAAACUGCCGGUAGACAUGCUGGACAUUGAGAAGGAGCUCCGGAAGAACGGCGAGAAGCCGGCCACCGACACAGCCAAGAGACGCGCCACUGAGCAGGUCCAAGGCCGGCAACCAGGGCCGAAGAAGGCCAGGAAGAAGCCGCGCGGGAUCACCAGCAAGACCAAGCUCACUAACGCCUAUCUCCCGGGACUCUUUCGACUUGCCUGUAGAUAA